UUUCUUCAGAGAGGUGCAAAGUAAUAUUCUGACAGGUAAAAAAUUAUCAAAGACCAUGCCGUCUAACGUCAGAAAGAAGAAACGUUUAAAAAAAGUAACAUGAAAACAAUGUCCGCUCUAGCUCGGUGACACUAAAUUGAAAGAACUAACAAACAAAGCCACCACGCAGCGUGACACAUCACAACAGACGAAAUCCUAAAGGUGAUAAUAGACGCCAGUUCAACUUCUACACUGAGGAAAAGGCACUCAAGGCGGUGAUAUCCGUUCAUGUACCUUGUCUGCAAGUGAUUCCCGACGUUUCAGCACCUAGGCAACAGUGCUUGGACAGUGGAUUGCUGAAAGGAAAAACACCUAGUUGGCUACAUACUACAAGGCAACAGCAAAUGUAAGAUCAAUCACAACAGAUGGUGAAGAUGAAAAAUCCUUUCCACACUACCCUGUCUCACAACAACAGCAAGUUCUGGGCACAUGUGAUCCUCACACUAGGGACUGGGCAUCUGAUUGUUUUAAUAAUCACCUGUAUCACCCUUUUAGCUUUAUUCCUGUCAUUCUGCACUUUACCUAAUCUGUGAUAAAUCUUUC
rnacentral:lncRNA from 1 species